UUCACAAAACAAAGGAAGAUGAUAGAGAUUAUGUGAUUCUAGAUAGGAUUAACAAAAAAUAAUACUGUAGCAAAUCCCGAUAGGUUGAUGACGAGCAAUAAAACGGGCCCCAAAUUGGAUGGGAUUAAAACUUAAGAGUAGUUUGGAUUC